UAGAUUUUCACCCGAUUUCUUUGUGCAUUAAAAAAAAACUUUCAAAUUCUGGAUUGCUUCUCCAAUUCUCUUUAUCUUCCUCAAAUUCCGUCUACCUGCAGUGAAAAUUAUCCAAGAAGAAAAUGAUUGAGCUAUAUGUGGACAUAGGAAAGGGGAGGUGGUGAUGAGAUGUAAUUUCAUGCAAACGUCCCUCGUGUCAAAGUGCCAAUUAGCUAAUUCCAGGGAGAUCAUAAGCAGUGAGGAGUAUGUACUUUAUGUGUUGUUUUCCUGUCUUCUGAAUUCUGUUCCACUCUUUUCACACUAUGUACUUUUCAAGUGAAAUCUCUUAUCAAAUAAAGUCAUAUAUCCAAGUAUAAGGUUACUGGUGGUGAAUAUAAAAUUGCCACAAUCAUAAUAGCUUUAACAUUUGCACUCUAUAUACAUUUGCUCUUUGGAAGUGUCAAGGUUCAAAGUGGUGAUGUAUUGUGUUACAAGCUCAAAUAACUCAUCAUCACACACAAAAUCAGAACUUGUUACUUUAAUUUUUUGUUAUGCGAAUCUAUUAACUUUAAAUGUAACUUGACUAGAGCUCCCAAUUGCACGUGCACGAUCUGUGUGAUUAUCCUAUGGUUCUCAUGUUUGGAGAUCAUAUUAUAUGCGGUCAUUUUAAACUCCGUUUCGUUACCAGCUACUUAUAAUGAGUUGUAUCAUUUUCUUAGUACUAUCAUCUUUUUCGUUGAAUGAUUUGAUAUUUUAUGACCCAAGAAGGUGGACAACUAUGAUUAGAAGUCAAAAAAUUUCUACCCUGAGCGCAUACAUGCAGACGAGGAUAUAUAAUACUGUCUUGAAAGAGUGGAUAUCUUGAUGUAAGAGACGAGGAUGAUUGCUAAAUUUGUAUCUUGGAUUAAAGUUGGUGAUCUGAUUGUCUUAUCCAUUAGAAUUACCAUAACUUCACCCUCGACAACAUGAUCUAUGUCAAGGUGUGCAAAAAUUUGAGUUUCUCUUUUAUUAAGCAUAGAAUAAAAAUGUUGUGUUCUCAGGCUUUAAAUUCCAACUUCUUUCGUCUCCCUAUUGAUUGCCUAAUUUGUUUUCAUUUUUUUAAGUAAAUUGGAUUUGAAUUUUAUGUA